rnacentral:ncRNA from 2 species
ACAAGUAAAUAUGUUUGUGGUGCUGAAAAGCUAAUAAGGGAAAUAGGUUAAAGUCCUAUGCAGCCCCCGCUACUGUAAGCAUGACGAAAUUCCAGAUGCCACCGUGAAAACGGGAAGGUGGAAGAGUAGGAAGAUUGCAAGCCAGGAGACCUGCCAUAAACAAACCGAACUG